rnacentral:rRNA from 1 species
AAGCUCGUAGUUGAAUUUCGGGAUCAGACUGUCGGUCGUGCCUCGGUACGCACUGGCAUUAUUGGUUCCUACCUUCUGAAGAACCGCGAUGUCAUUAAUUUGGUGUCGCGGGGAAUCAGGACUGUUACUUUGAAAAAAUUAGAGUGUUUAAAGCAGGCUCGCGCUUGAAUACAUUAGCAUGGAAUAAUGAAAUAGGACGUUGAUCCUAUUUUGUUGGUUUCUAGGAUUGACGUAAUGAUUAAUAGGGAUAGUUGGG